rnacentral:rRNA from 1 species
UACGUAGGGUGCAAGCGUUAAUCGGAAUUACUGGGCGUAAAGCGUGCGCAGGCGGUUUUGUAAGACAGAGGUGAAAUCCCCGGGCUCAACCUGGGAACUGCCUUUGUGACUGCAAGGCUUGAGUGCGGCAGAGGGGGAUGGAAUUCCGCGUGUAGCAGUGAAAUGCGUAGAUAUGCGGAGGAACACCGAUGGCGAAGGCAACCCCCUGGGCCAAAACUGACGCUCAUGCACGAAAGCGUGGGGAGCAAACAGG